UUUUCUGCAAGGCAGGGGAGACACCAUGAUCUGGAAGGUGGUUUUCCCAGGGUAAUUGUCUCUGAUAUGUCCUCCAUAGGAGGUCUAUAUUGAGCAGAUUCUUUUUGGUAUUGGGUGGUGGAACCGGAGCGUGCUCCAUCCACUC
rnacentral:snRNA from 1 species